UCCCUGGUGGCUCAGAUGGUAAAGCAUCUGCCUACAGUGCAGGAGACCCGGGUUCGAUCCCUGGGUUGGGAA
rnacentral:tRNA from 1 species